CUUAACAAUACCAAUAAACAUGUAUUAUCUCACACAGUUUCUGAGAGUCAGGAAUCUGGGAGUGACUUAGCUGGGUGGUUUUGGUUCAGGGGUCUUCUAUG